GUGAAAUAAAUCACAAAACAAACAUACACCCCUUUGUUUGAACGUGAACAUUUCUCCCAUCCCCUUUGUGAAAAAAGAGGCGUCACUAUCUGUCGAGGAUAGCGGCGCCUCUUU
rnacentral:sRNA from 1 species